rnacentral:rRNA from 1 species
UACGUAGGUGGCGAGCGUUGUCCGGAAUUAUUGGGCGUAAAGAGCUCGUAGGCGGCUUGUCACGUCGGAUGUGAAAACCCGAGGUUUAACCUCGGGCCUGCAUUCGAUACGGGCUGACUAGAGUUCGGUAGGGGAGACUGGAAUUCCUGGUGUAGCGGUGAAAUGCGCAGAUAUCUGGAGGAACACCGGUGGCGAAGGCGGCAUCCUGGACCAAUUCUGACGCUGAGGAGCGAAAGCCAGGGGAGCAAACGGG